rnacentral:rRNA from 1 species
GUUAGGAAUAUUGGACAAUGGGCGCAAGCCUGAUCCAGCCAUGCCGCGUGAACGAUGAAGGCCUUCGGGUUGUAAAGUUCUUUAGCCGAUGAUUAUAAUGACUGUAGUCGGAAAAUAAGCCCCGGCUAACUUCGUGCCAGCAGCCGCGGUAAUACGAAGGGGGCGAGCGUUAUUCGGAAUCACUGGGCGUAAAGCGUGCGUAGGCGGUCUCGUAAGUUAGGAGUGAAAGCCCAGGGCUCAACCUUGGAAUUGCUCUUAAUACUGCAAGGCUAGAAUCUCGGAGAGGAUAGCGGAAUUUCCAGUGUAGCAGUGAAAUGCGUAGAUAUUGGAAGGAACACCAGUGGCGUAAGCGGCUAUCUGGACGAGUAUUGACGCUGAGGCACGAAAGCGUGGGGAUCAAACAGGAUUAGAAACCCCGGUAGUC